UCCACGCCGUAAACGAUGAAUACUAGGUGUCGGGGGUCGAACCUCGGUGCCGCAGUUAACACAAUAAGUAUUCCGCCUGGGGAGUACGAUCGCAAGAUUAAAACUCAAAGGAAUUGACGGGGGCCCGCACAAGCAGCGGAGCAUGUGGUUUAAUUCGAAGCAACGCGAAGAACCUUACCUAGACUUGACAUCCCCUGCAUAACCCAGAGAUGGGCGAAGUCCUUCGGGACAGGG
rnacentral:rRNA from 1 species